AGUAACCAACAAAAUCACCUUCUAAACAAAAGUUCACUUUUAAAGUCACCAAAAGUUAAGCAUUUUCAACAAAUAAAGUAACCAAAAACAUCACCUUCUAAACACUAAUUCACUAUUAAAGUCACCGGCACUUAAGCAUUUUCAACAAAUAAAGUAACCAACAACAUCACCUCCUAAACACUAAUUCACUCUUACAGUCACUGGCACUUAAGUAUUUUCAACAAACAAAGUAACCUAUAACAUCACCUUCUAAACAAAUGUUCACUUUUAAAGUCACCCGCACGUAAGCAUUUUCAACAAAUAAAGUAACCAACAACAUCACCUUCCAAACAAAAGUUCACUAUUACAAUCACCGGCACUUAAGCAUUUUCAACAAAUAAAGUCACCAACUAAAUCAUUUUCAAGCAACUAAGUAUCAAAACGAAAAAAAAUUCAAAAUGAAAAAAUACCCUUCAAAGUCCCUAGACUUAACCAUUUUCAAGCAAGUAAGUGACCUAACAAACCACAUCCA
rnacentral:lncRNA from 1 species